GGUUAAGCGACUAAGCGUACACGGUGGAUGCCCUGGCAGUCAGAGGCGAUGAAGGACGUGCUAAUCUGCGAUAAGCGUCGGUGAGGUGAUAUGAACCGUUAUAACCGGCGAUUUCCGAAUGGGGAAACCCAGUGUGUUUCGACACACUAUCAUUAACUGAAUCUAUAGGUUAAUGAGGCGAACCGGGGGAACUGAAACAUCUAAGUACCCCGAGGAAAAGAAAUCAACCGAGAUUCCCCCAGUAGCGGCGAGCGAACGGGGAGCAGCCCAGAGCCUGAAUCAGUGUGUGUGUUAGUGGAAGCGUCUGGAAAGGCGCGCGAUACAGGGUGACAGCCCCGUACACAAAAAUGCACAUGCUGUGAGCUCGAUGAGUAGGGCGGGACACGUGGUAUCCUGUCUGAAUAUGGGGGGACCAUCCUCCAAGGCUAAAUACUCCUGACUGACCGAUAGUGAACCAGUACCGUGAGGGAAAGGCGAAAAGAACCCCGGCGAGGGGAGUGAAAAAGAACCUGAAACCGUGUACGUACAAGCAGUGGGAGCCUCUUUAUGGGGUGACUGCGUACCUUUUGUAUAAUGGGUCAGCGACUUAUAUUCUGUAGCAAGGUUAACCGAAUAGGGGAGCCGAAGGGAAACCGAGUCUUAACUGGGCGUUAAGUUGCAGGGUAUAGACCCGAAACCCGGUGAUCUAGCCAUGGGCAGGUUGAAGGUUGGGUAACACUAACUGGAGGACCGAACCGACUAAUGUUGAAAAAUUAGCGGAUGACUUGUGGCUGGGGGUGAAAGGCCAAUCAAACCGGGAGAUAGCUGGUUCUCCCCGAAAGCUAUUUAGGUAGCGCCUCGUGAAUUCAUCUCCGGGGGUAGAGCACUGUUUCGGCAAGGGGGUCAUCCCGACUUACCAACCCGAUGCAAACUGCGAAUACCGGAGAAUGUUAUCACGGGAGACACACGGCGGGUGCUAACGUCCGUCGUGAAGAGGGAAACAACCCAGACCGCCAGCUAAGGUCCCAAAGUCAUGGUUAAGUGGGAAACGAUGUGGGAAGGCCCAGACAGCCAGGAUGUUGGCUUAGAAGCAGCCAUCAUUUAAAGAAAGCGUAAUAGCUCACUGGUCGAGUCGGCCUGCGCGGAAGAUGUAACGGGGCUAAACCAUGCACCGAAGCUGCGGCAGCGACGCUUAUGCGUUGUUGGGUAGGGGAGCGUUCUGUAAGCCUGCGAAGGUGUGCUGUGAGGUAUGCUGGAGGUAUCAGAAGUGCGAAUGCUGACAUAAGUAACGAUAAAGCGGGUGAAAAGCCCGCUCGCCGGAAGACCAAGGGUUCCUGUCCAACGUUAAUCGGGGCAGGGUGAGUCGACCCCUAAGGCGAGGCCGAAAGGCGUAGUCGAUGGGAAACAGGUUAAUAUUCCUGUACUUGGUGUUACUGCGAAGGGGGGACGGAGAAGGCUAUGUUGGCCGGGCGACGGUUGUCCCGGUUUAAGCGUGUAGGCUGAUUUUCCAGGCAAAUCCGGAAAAUCAAGGCUGAGGCGUGAUGACGAGGCACUACGGUGCUGAAGCAACAAAUGCCCUGCUUCCAGGAAAAGCCUCUAAGCAUCAGGUAACAUCAAAUCGUACCCCAAACCGACACAGGUGGUCAGGUAGAGAAUACCAAGGCGCUUGAGAGAACUCGGGUGAAGGAACUAGGCAAAAUGGUGCCGUAACUUCGGGAGAAGGCACGCUGAUAUGUAGGUGAAGCGACUUGCUCGUGGAGCUGAAAUCAGUCGAAGAUACCAGCUGGCUGCAACUGUUUAUUAAAAACACAGCACUGUGCAAACACGAAAGUGGACGUAUACGGUGUGACGCCUGCCCGGUGCCGGAAGGUUAAUUGAUGGGGUUAGCGGUAACGCGAAGCUCUUGAUCGAAGCCCCGGUAAACGGCGGCCGUAACUAUAACGGUCCUAAGGUAGCGAAAUUCCUUGUCGGGUAAGUUCCGACCUGCACGAAUGGCGUAAUGAUGGCCAGGCUGUCUCCACCCGAGACUCAGUGAAAUUGAACUCGCUGUGAAGAUGCAGUGUACCCGCGGCAAGACGGAAAGACCCCGUGAACCUUUACUAUAGCUUGACACUGAACAUUGAGCCUUGAUGUGUAGGAUAGGUGGGAGGCUUUGAAGUGUGGACGCCAGUCUGCAUGGAGCCGGCCUUGAAAUACCACCCUUUAAUGUUUGAUGUUCUAACGUUGGCCCCUGAUCGGGGUUGCGGACAGUGUCUGGUGGGUAGUUUGACUGGGGCGGUCUCCUCCUAAAGAGUAACGGAGGAGCACGAAGGUUGGCUAAUCCUGGUCGGACAUCAGGAGGUUAGUGCAAUGGCAUAAGCCAGCUUGACUGCGAGCGUGACGGCGCGAGCAGGUGCGAAAGCAGGUCAUAGUGAUCCGGUGGUUCUGAAUGGAAGGGCCAUCGCUCAACGGAUAAAAGGUACUCCGGGGAUAACAGGCUGAUACCGCCCAAGAGUUCAUAUCGACGGCGGUGUUUGGCACCUCGAUGUCGGCUCAUCACAUCCUGGGGCUGAAGUAGGUCCCAAGGGUAUGGCUGUUCGCCAUUUAAAGUGGUACGCGAGCUGGGUUUAGAACGUCGUGAGACAGUUCGGUCCCUAUCUGCCGUGGGCGCUGGAGAACUGAGGGGGGCUGCUCCUAGUACGAGAGGACCGGAGUGGACGCAUCACUGGUGUUCGGGUUGUCAUGCCAAUGGCACUGCCCGGUAGCUAAAUGCGGAAGAGAUAAGUGCUGAAAGCAUCUAAGCACGAAACUUGCCCCGAGAUGAGUUCUCCCUGAGACUUAGAGUCUCCUGAAGGAACGUUGAAGACGACGACGUUGAUAGGCCGGGUGUGUAAGCGCAGCGAUGCGUUGAGCUAACCGGUACUAAUGAACCGUGAGG
rnacentral:rRNA from 1 species